rnacentral:rRNA from 1 species
UCGAGAAUAAUUCACAAUGGGGGAAACCCUGAUGGUGCAACGCCGCGUGGAGGAUGAAGGUCUUCGGAUUGUAAACUCCUGUCAUCGGGGAGUAAGACCUGACGGUAAAUAGCCGGCAGGGUUGAUAGUACCCGAAGAGGAAGGGACGGCUAACUUCGUGCCAGCAGCCGCGGUAAUACGAAGGUCCCAAGCGUUGUUCGGAAUCACUGGGCGUAAAGGGAGCGUAGGCGGCGCGGUAAGUCAGAUGUGAAAUCCCGGGGCUCAACCCCGGAACUGCAUCCGAUACUGCCGUGCUUGAGGGUUGGAGAGGUAGCUGGAAUUCUCGGUGUAGCAGUGAAAUGCGUGGAUAUCGAGAGGAACACUCGUGGCGAAGGCGAGCUACUGGACAACAUCUGACGCUGAGGCUCGAAGGCUAGGGGAGCAAAAG